rfam:Spinacia oleracea cultivar SynViroflay scaffold35536.con0002.1, whole genome shotgun sequence.
GUCUCUUUGGAGACAUUUGAUAAAAUUGGAACGAUACAGAGAAGAUUAACAUGGCCCCUGCGCAAGAAUGACACUCAGAAAUAGAGAACUGGUCCAAUUUUUU